rfam:Eutrema salsugineum unplaced genomic scaffold scaffold_3, whole genome shotgun sequence.
UAUCCGUGAGGUGGACAAUCUAUCUUGCAUUCCCUAAAUCUUUCCCAAGUAUCUAAAAUAUCUUCAUCUUCUUUUUGUUUAAAAGUUAUUCUCUUGUUCCUUAAGAAA